rnacentral:pre_miRNA from 1 species
GGGGGGUUGGGGGUGUCCCUUAGACCGGAUGGCGAGAGGGCGCAGGCCAGGCCGAGGGACCCCACCGGUGCACG